UUCCAUGGAUCUUUCGUUCUUAAUGUGUUUGAUUUAUCGAUCGAUGCUGAAUCGCGGUGUUACUUGGAUCCUUUUUUUUCUCAGUGUCUGUGUUUUGGAUGGAUCUUUAGAUUUGUUUUGUUCAUUCUGUUCUUAUUUGGAUAUGAAUCGUUGAUCGCCAACUACUGAGAAGUUUACGGUGUUUGUUCUUUUUGAUGCCUUAAUCCGGCAACUGUGGGCGAAAAUUACGACGACCGCGGGAGGAGCUGGUCCUCGAUGCCUACAAGAUUUCACAGUCAGUUUUUGCGCUUCUUCGAUUGCUGCUGGAGAUCAGGGUAGUUGCUAACUUCAAGUUGACAAGUAAGAAGGAGGAGCUGUUUGGAAAACUAAACUGGACUGCCUGGGAGACUUGGCCAAAAUGUCCAGACAAAGAUGUCCAGCUGACACUGAGAUGACGAACAGAGACAGAGGUGACAGCCGAGACCGAGAUGUCUAGCUAAGACAGAGAUGCCUAGUCAAGAUCGAGAUGUCUAGCUAAUACAUCAGGCUCUGACCCGAGGCCGAAAUGCCGAGACAUGAAGCUGAGACCCAAGAUGGAGGUAAAACACCGAGCAAAAAUGCACAGUGGAGAGAAGAUUUGGGAGAACGAUGGUGGAG